UCUUCGCUAGUAUAUCGGUUAGUAUAACCGCCUCUCAGUAGAGAGUUUCAUCGCGGUAGAGCAGGGUUCAACUCCCUGGCGGAGAA